rnacentral:rRNA from 1 species
UACGUAGGGGGCAAGCGUUGUCCGGAUUUAUUGGGCGUAAAGAGCGUGUAGGCGGCCACGCAGGUCCGUUGUGAAAACUGGAGGCUCAACCUCCAGCUGUCGACGGAAACCGUGUGGCUAGAGUCCGGAAGAGGAGAGUGGAAUUCCUAGUGUAGAGGUGAAAUUCGUAGAUAUUAGGAAGAACACCAGUGGCGAAGGCGGCUCACUGGCCCGGUACUGACGCUGAGGCGCGAAAGCGUGGGGAGCAAACAGG